rnacentral:rRNA from 1 species
AACGAACGCUGGCGGCAUGCCUAACACAUGCAAGUCGAACGAGACCUUCGGGUCUAGUGGCGCACGGGUGCGUAACGCGUGGGAACCUGCCCUUAGGUUCGGAAUAACUCCCCGAAAGGGGUGCUAAUACCGGAUAAUGUCUUCGGACCAAAGAUUUAUCGCCUUUGGAUGGGCCCGCGUUGGAUUAGCUAGUUGGUAGGGUAAAAGCCUACCAAGGCGACGAUCCAUAGCUGGUCUGAGAGGAUGAUCAGCCACACUGGGACUGAGACACGGCCCAGACUCCUACGGGAGGCAGCAGUGGGGAAUAUUGGACAAUGGGCGAAAGCCUGAUCCAGCAAUGCCGCGUGAGUGAUGAAGGCCUUAGGGUUGUAAAGCUCUUUUACCCGGGAUGAUAAUGACAGUGCCGGGAGAAUAAGCGCCGGCUAACUCCGUGC